UAAAUAAAAAUAGUGUGGGAAACUAUUUUAUUGGACUCAUAGAAGUAAAGUAUAAGUUGGAAAUGACCUGUGCUGAAAUCGGAGCGAAAACAGAAGAUUUAGAAUUUUCUGUGAGAAACGGGGCAGAUAAAUUAGCAGAAAAUGCACAGUGUCAGAAAAUUAUGAAAACUGGAGGAUAGGUCAGAAUUAUUUUUAUGAGGCUAGAUUUGAAGUUUCAGCCCAUUCUGACACCCGGAAGGUGGAGAAUAAAAUCGAACUGCUAUCUGCUAAAGAUUACAGUUCGGCACAGCUUUCGAUGACCAAACGGGGUCGAAACUGAAAACUUAAGAUAUAUUCUUGCUCAGUACGUUAAACCGAGCCUGCCUGUCGAAUUUGAGCGCAAACGGACAUUCAGAAGGGCUCCGACUGUUCCGAACUGCGAAACUGCAAGUUGUAAUAGGUGUGAGAGGGGGUUUUGUGCAAUUGUUACAGCACCAAAGGUGGGCUGGUUGCAUACGUACACACACACACACACACACCUUCCUCCUUCAUGUUCUCUCAUUCCCUCCCACUCUCAUACUCUUUUCCCUCUCUCUCUCUAGAAAGAAAGAAAGAAAGAAGAAGGAAAGGAGAAGGAAAAGAAAGGAAAAAGAAAGAAAGAAGAAAGGAGAAGAAGACCAAGAAGAGGAAGAUCAUCUUCUUCCUCCUCUCCCUCAACCUUGGAGAAGCUUUUAGAGGUAAGCUCCAAACCCUAUAAUGGUAGAUUCCUUAAGAUAGGGUUUUAUGGUUUAGAAUUGGUUUGAAUGGAACCUAUUGGAGCUAGUUAGAUGGUUCUAGCUCGAAUUUGAAGCUUGAGCCAUGGAUUUCCUCAUUGUUGAAACCUAGGGCACUUCAAAACCCUAUAAUGGUAGAAUUUUAGGGCUUCAUUUAUAUGCUAUAAAAAUGGAUUUAUUGGAAUCCAAUGAUGCUAAAUAGAUGAUUGUUGCCUAAAUCAUGGAUCAAUUUUGUGAAUUUUUGCAAAAGUUGAAACCUAGGGUUCAAAAUGCAAUUUUUGGAAAUAUGGGGGUUUGAUCUCAAUUAACCCUCUGUAAACCUAAUUGCUAGAUCUAUAAACGCGUUGGCGAAGACGGUUCGUCAAUCCGACGAACGAGUGUGGAGUUAUCGCCAAAACAAGUGCUUGAGGGUUUGGUUGCCCCGAGUUGAAGCGACGAAAAAGAUCGCGGAAGAACACGUUUCCGAGCUUGUGGCACUACCAAAGGUGGGUGGUGACCAUCCCGAAGCAGCCGGGAUACUUUCUAUGUUUAGGUUCUUAUAUAAUGAUCAAAUUGCAUCUUGCACAUAUUGCAUAUAGGGCUAAAUGAUUGAUGUUAUUGCUUAUACUUGCAUGCUAGUUGUAAUAUGAUAGGUCAUGAAUCUAGUAUGCAUGAGAAUGAUAUGAUAGUUAACCCUAUAUGCGAUGAUUGAUGUUUAAGUAAAUAAAGAACCUAGUAUGAUAAAAACUAGUGUUGAUAACGAGUCAAAUUGACGAGUGGCAUCUAGUUGUAGACAACUAUGACGAGUGGCAUUUGCUUAUUGAUAACCUAUGAUAUGAGAACCUUAGUGUAAUCAGAAAUACUAUGAGAUUGAGUACAAAACCACCUUGAUUCCAUGAUGAGAUUACCCUUAGAGAGUAGGAUACUGUUGUUCGUGAGAUUUGAUUAUGCUCACAUUGCCUGUCUGCGCUUGUUGGGGUCGCUCCCCUCAAGCUGUGCACUCCGGAGUUUUGUCACUAGAGGGGCAGCCGCUUGCUGCCCGGAUAGCCGCUAGCUGUCCGCAGGCGGUCUCGGGGGAUAGUUCAGUGAGACUUUUUCCUAUGAGACUUACACGUGAGAUGUUGUAGUGAACCCCGAGUUCACAAGAGAUUUGGUUACCUAUUGAGUCAUACUCAUUAUUGUUGUUCAUGAUAGCUAGUUUACAUCGCUUAUUGUUGUUCAUAGUAGCUUUACUUAUUGUUCAUGCAUGCAUGUUAUCAGAUUGAGGCAUAGCUAGAUGUACCUACUCUACUUACCUGCUUUCGUUCCCGCAUAGCUUUAUAUAUAUUGUAUACAUAUCUCUCUAUGCCUGCUUAGACCUAGUGGGUAGAUCGGUGGAGUCGGCGGCCGAACCCACUGGGAACUAAGGAAGUUAGUUCUCACACCCCACAUUACAGGUACUAGUUCGAGUGUCCCGACCGAGCGGGAGGAUCGCGGCAAGGGCAUAGCGCCCUAGCGGUAUCAGUUGAUAGUUUUACCUUUCCUACUUGCAUUAGCCCUAUACCCUGUACUUUUGUUUAUAUCUUGAGAGUAGAUCUUGUAUAGGGUGAGGUUUGAGAGCAUAUGAUGUAUUUAUAUUUUGGAGAAAAAGAAUGCAAGUUGUAUUAAAUGGGUAAAGUUUAAUGAUGUUAAAAGAGGUUAAUGUAUCAAAGUUCUAUGUUUAAAUAGUUAAGUUUAUCUCUCUUUUGUAUACUUGUAUGGAAUUCACUCGUAUCGCUUGCUCUUUGGUUGUUUAGCACUGUUUGUGCUUCUUCGUUGUUGUUGUAUAGAUCGUGUAUGAUUACAAGUGAUUCCUGGGUACUUGUGUACAUGAUCUCAUUGUUGAGCCUAGGGCGGACAGGGGAGACUCUGUCCGUUCGGCCUCACGCCCGCCGCGCCCGAACCGCGCCAAAUUAGUAGCGGUCUCGGGGCGGGGCGUGCAAGGGACGAUUUGAGGUGGGUUAUCCGCGGGGAAAGUUGAGUCCAGUUACUUCAUUAUUGCUUUUUCAUAGUAGCUUAUAUUGGCUCAGCAUUUAAACUUAUUGUUUUCAUGCAAUGCCAUGUUUUAUCGGAUUAUGUGAGGCGCAUAAGCUAUGAUUGUACCUACUUAAAAAAAAAAACUUAACCGCUUGUGUGGCUGUUUUCAGUCAGGGUUCCCCGAUGUAGGCCCUUAUAAUUAAUAAUCUUGUAAUAAAAAAUCCUUUUUUUUCUUCUAAUUUGCCGCUAUUUUGGGGCUUGACCUAGUGUAGAUCGUGAGUCGGCGGGAGUCGUUGCUAGUACAAAAGGAAGCGAACCACUCGCGAACUAAAGCGAAGUUUAGUUCUCAGACAAUCGCCUAAUUACAAGGUAGGUUCGAGUCAUUCCCCACGCGAGCGGUACGAGGAUCGCCGGCACGCGGCAUAGCGCGUUCUAGCCGGUACUCUAUCUGAUCGGUUGGAUAGUCUGGCUUCCUAUAUUGCAAGUAUUUCCCUACUUGUUACAUUUUGAGAGGGAUUGGUGGUUAGAUUAGAAGGUGAGGUGUAGGAGCCAUCUUUUGAGGUAUUAUAUUUUGGAGAGAAAACAGAAUGCAAGUUGUUUACGAUCUUAAAGUUUAAUGAAAUUGAAAGCUUAAACAAUUUCAAGUUAUGGUUUAAAUAGUUUUAGUUCUCUUUUUUGUAUACUGUAUGGUAUUCAGUCGUAUCGCUUAGCUCUUUGUGUUGGCUCUGAUAAUUUUUGUUGAGCGGCAGCGCUCAAAAACUGUUCUGUCGCUUUACUUCGUCUGGUUGUUGUACCUUAGAUCGUGUAUGGUUACAAAGUCAUUUCCGGUUUCGCCCUAUAAAACUGGAUAUUCAAAAAAGAAUUCAGUGUCUACUUGCUUGUUAACGAUGGAUCUCCGGCUGGUGAGGGUCAGGGGGAAUUUGCGGGUGUGCACAACGUUUUCCACGUCUCCAAUCUUCGCAAAUACAUGCAUGAUCCCGAGCAUGUUCUAGUAUAUGAGCCGCCGGAGCUUCAAGAAGAUAUGAGCUAUGAAGAGUUUCCGGUGAUGAUUUUGGCUCGAGAAGUGCGAAAGCUGCGGAAUCGCGAGAUCCCCUAUGUCAAGGUCCGGUGGAGCAAUCAUGACGAUCGCGAAGCCACCUGGGAGCUUGAGAAUCAAAUGAAGGCAAAUCACCCUCACCUAUUUGAGGAUUGAGCGAGGUAUGAUUUAAGAUUCGAAGUUUAAUUUUUUAUUAAAUUGAGUUCGUUUCGAGGACGAAACUCCUUUUAAGGAGAGGAGAAUGUAGGAUACCGAACUUCUGAAAAUAAGAAGUUACGGUAGGAUAUAGUAUAUCGGAAUUUAUUAUAAAAGUAAAUAUAAAUAAAAAUAGUGUGGAAAACUAUUUUUAUUGGCCUUAUGGAAGUAAAGUAAAAGUUGAAAGUGACCUGUGCUGAAAUCGGAGCGAAAACAGGAGAUUUAGAAUUUUCUGUGAGAAACGGGGCAGAUAGAUUAGCAGAAAAUGCACAGUGUCAGAAAAUUAUGAAAACUGGAGGAUGGGUCAGAAUUAUUUUUAUGAGGCUGGAAUUAAAGUUUCAGCCCAUUCUGACAUCCGGAAGGUGGAGAAUAAAAUCAAACUGCUAUCUGCUAAAGAUUACAGUUCGGCACGGCUUUCGGUGACCAAACGGGGUCGAAACUGAAAACUUAAGAUAUAUUCUUACUCAGUACGUUAAACCGAGCCUGCCUGUCGAAUUUGAGCGCAAACGGACAUUCAGAAGGGCUCCGACUGUUCCGAACUGCGAAACUGCGAGUUGUAAUAGGUGUGAGAGGGGGUUUUGUGCAAUUGUUACAACACCACAAGUGGGCUGGUUGCAUACGUAUACACACACAUGCACAUACCUUCUCCCUCAUGUGUUCUCUCAUCCUCUCCCACUCUUACACUCUUUUCCCUCUCUCUCUCUAGAAAGAAAGAAAGAAAGAAGAAGGAAAGGAGAAGGAAAAGAAAGGAAAAAGAGAAGGAAGAAGGAAGGAGAAGAAGACCAAGAAGAGGAAGAUCAUCUUCUUCCUCCUCUCCCUCAACCUUGGAGAAGCUUUUGGAGGUAAGCUCCAAAACCCUAUAGUGGUGGAUUCCUUAAGAUAGGGUUUUAUGGUUUGGAAUUGGUUUGAAUGGAACCUAUUGAAGCUAAUUAGAUGGUUCUAGCUCGAAUUUGAAGCUUGAACCAUGGAAUUUCUCAUUGUUGAAACCUAAGUCACUUCAAAACCCUUUAAUGGUAGCUUCUAGUUUAUGAGUUUUUAAGCUCUAGAAAUGGAAUUUAAUGGUGAUUUAGAGAUUAUUAACCUCAUUUAUUGCAAGAUUCAUAGCUUGAUGUUGCUUUUUUGCAACAAUGAGGAAUUAGAGCUCCAAAUGAGAGCUUUAAUAGUAGAUCUCUAGGGCUUUGGUCUUAUGCUCUAGAAAUGGAAUUAGUAGCCUUCCAAGAUGCUAAUUAGAUGGAUUAUGCUUGGAUCCAAAGGUUGGAUGGUGGGUUUUUCUCUAAUUGCGACAUAGGGUUCCAAAAUAGGGUUUUUGCAAAUAUAGGGUUUUGAUCUCAUUUGAGUGGUCAGAAACCUAAUUGUUAUAUCUCCGAACGCGU
rnacentral:lncRNA from 1 species